rnacentral:rRNA from 1 species
GACGAACGCUGGCGGCGUGCUUAACACAUGCAAGUGGAGCGACGAACCAGGGCUUGCCCUGGGGCAGAGCCGCGAACGGGUGAGUAACACGUGGGUUACCUGCCCCGAUGACCGGGACAACCCGAGGAAACUCGGGCUAAUACCGGAUGUGUCCGAAAGGGGAAAGGAAGCUUCGGCCUCCGCAUCGGGAUGGGCCCGCGGCCCAUUAGCUUGUUGGUGAGGUAACGGCUCACCAAGGCUGCGANGGGUAGCUGGUCUGAGAGGACGAUCAGCCACACUGGGACUGAGACACGGCCCAGACUCCUACGGGAGGCAGCAGUGGGGAAUCUUGCGCAAUGCGCGAAAGCGUGACGCAGCAACGCCGCGUGGGGAAGAA